GGAAGAGUCGCAUAGUGGUCGAGUGCGCUCGCUUGGAAAGCGAGUUUGGUGCAAGCCAACGCAGGUUCAAAUCCUGUCUCUUCCGCCA
rnacentral:tRNA from 1 species